rnacentral:tRNA from 1 species
GUGGCUGUAGUAUAAACUUACAUUAAUUUUUCAUAUUAAAAAUUCAGACCAUCUGACUCCCACU